rnacentral:tRNA from 1 species
GGGCCCGUAGCUUAGCACGGUAGAGCGCCCGGCUCUUAACCGGGUGGUCGCGGGUUCAAAUCCCGCCGGGCCCGCCA